rnacentral:rRNA from 1 species
CUUGGUCAUUUAGAGGAAGUAAAAGUCGUAACAAGGUUUCCGUAGGUGAACCUGCGGAAGGAUCAUUAUUGAAUAAACUUGGUUGGGUUGUUGCUGGCUUCUCGGAGCAUGUGCACGCCUAGCGCCAUUUUUACCACCUGUGCACUUCUUGUAGAUUUGAAACACCUUUCGAGGCAACUCGGUUUGAGGACUGCUAUGCGAAAGCUAGCUUUCCUUGCGUUUCAGGUCUAUGUUUUUACAUACCCCAUAAGAAUGUUUUAGAAUGUCAUUAAUGGGCUUUAGUGCCUCUAAAUUAAUACAACUUUCAACAACGGAUCUCUUGGCUCUCGCAUCGAUGAAGAACGCAGCGAAAUGCGAUAAGUAAUGUGAAUUGCAGAAUUCAGUGAAUCAUCGAAUCUUUGAACGCACCUUGCGCUCCUUGGUAUUCCGAGGAGCAUGCCUGUUUGAGUGUCAUUAAAUUCUCAACCCUUUCAGCUUUUGCGAGUUGGAUUGGCUUGGAUGUGGANGNUUGCNGGCUUCUCANAAGUCGGCUCCNCUUAAAUGCAUUAGCGGAANCUUUGUGGACCAGCUUUGGUGNGANAAUUAUCUACNCCAUGGGCNGUGGAAGCACCUUUACAUGGGGGUCAGCUUCUAACCGUCCAUUGACUUGGACAWUUCUGACAUUUUGACCUCAAAUCAGGUAGGACUACCCGCUGAACUUAAGCAUAUCAAUAAGCGGAGGAAAAGAAACUAACAAGGAUUCCCUAGUAACUGCGAGUGAAGCGGGAAAAGCUCAAAUUUAAAAUCUGGCGGUCCUUGUGGCUGUCCGAGUUGUAAUCUAGAGAAGUGCUAUCCGCGCUGGACCGUGUACAAGUCUCCUGGAACGGAGCGUCAUAGAGGGUGAGAAUNCCCGUCUUUGACACGGACUACCCAGGGCUUUGUGAUGUGCUCUCAAAGAGUCGAGUUGUUUGGGAAUGCAGCUCUAAAUGGGUGGUAAAUUCCAUCUAAAGCUAAAUAUUGGCGAGAGACCGAUAGCGAACAAGUACCGUGAGGGAAAGAUGAAAAGAACUUUGGAAAGAGAGUUAAACAGUACGUGAAAUUGUUGAAAGGGAAACGCUUGAAGUCAGUCGCGUUGGCCGGGGAUCAACCUUGCUCUUUUGCUUGGCGUACUUUCCGGUUGACGGGUCAGCAUCAAUUUUGACCGGUGGAUAAAGGUCAGGGGAAUGUGGCAUCUUCGGAUGUGUUAUAGCCCUUGGUUGCAUACAUCGGUUGGGAUUGAGGAACUCAGCACGCCGCAAGGCCGGGUCUUUGACCACGUACGUGCUUAGGAUGCUGGCAUAAUGGCUUUAAUCGACCCGUCUUGAAACACGGACC